AGUUUGAUCAGUGGCUCGAGGACGAACGCUGGCGGCGUGCUUAACACAUGCAAGUCGAACGGUGAAGGGAAGCUUGCUUCCGGAUCAGUGGCGAACGGUGAGUAACACGUGGGCAAUCUGCCCAGACUUUGGGAUAACUACUCGAAAGAGUAGCUAAUACCGAAUAUUCAGCCUUGCAGGCAUCUGCGAGGCUGGAAAGUUUCUCGGUCUGGGAUGAGCCCGCGGCCUAUCAGCUAGUUGGUGAGGUAAUGGCUCACCAGGGCGACGACGGGUAGCCGGCCUGAGAGGGCGACCGGCCACACUGGGACUGAGACACGGCCCAGACUCCUACGGGAGGCAGCAGUGGGGAAUAUUGCGCAAUGGGCGAAAGCCUGACGCAGCAACGCCGCGUGCGGGAUGAAGGCCUUCGGGUUGUAAACCGCUUUCAGCAGGGAAGAAGCGAAAGUGACGGUACCUGCAGAAGAAGCACCGGCUAACUACGUG
rnacentral:rRNA from 1 species